AACGCACAUUGCGCCCCCUGGCAUUCCGGGGGGCAUGCCUGUCCGAGCGUCAUUUCUGCCCUCCAGCGCGGCUGGGUGUUGGGCGCUGUCCCCCCGGGGACACGCCCCAAAGGCAGUGGCGGCGCCGCAUCGGGUCCUCGAGCGUAUGGGGCUCUGUCACCCGCUCGGGAGGGACUCGUCGGCGCUGGUCUUCCCCCAGGCGACCCUUCGGGGCUCGUCUUCUUCCGGUUGACCUCGGAUCAGGUAGGGUUACCCGCUGAACUUAA
rnacentral:misc_RNA from 1 species